AUACGGAGGAUCCGAGCGUUAUCCGGAUUUAUUGGGUUUAAAGGGUGCGCAGGCGGCCAUUUAAGUCAGCGGUUAAAUCGUGGGGCUCAACCCCAUUCUGCCGUUGAUACUGGGUGGCUUGACUGCGGUCGAGGUUGGCGGAAUUCGUUGUGUAGCGGUGAAAUGCAUAGAUAUGACGAAGAACACCGAUUGCGUAGGCAGCUGACCAGACCGCAAAUGACGCUCAUGCACGAAAGUGCGGGGAUCGAACAGGAUUAGAUACCCUGGUAGUCCGCACAGUAAACGAUGAAUACUUGUUUUCGGCGAUAUAAUGUCGGAGGCAAAGCGAAAGCGAUAAGUAUUCCACCUGGGGAGUACGCCGGCAACGGUGAAACUCAAAUGAAUUGACGG
rnacentral:rRNA from 1 species